GAUGAACGCUGGCGUCGUGCCUAAUACAUGCAAGUCGAGCGAACAGACGAGGAGCUUGCUCCUCUGACGUUAGCGGCGGACGGGUGAGUAACACGUGGAUAACCUACCUAUAAGACUGGGAUAACUUCGGGAAACCGGAGCUAAUACCGGAUAAUAUAUUGAACCGCAUGGUUCAAUAGUGAAAGACGGUUUUGCUGUCACUUAUAGAUGGAUCCGCGCCGCAUUAGCUAGUUGGUAAGGUAACGGCUUACCAAGGCAACGAUGCGUAGCCGACCUGAGAGGGUGAUCGGCCACACUGGAACUGAGACACGGUCCAGACUCCUACGGGAGGCAGCAGUAGGGAAUCUUCCGCAAAGGGCGAAAGCCUGACGGAGCAACGCCGCGUGAGUGAUGAAGGUCUUCGGAUCGUAAAACUCUGUUAUUAGGGAAGAACAAAUGUGUAAGUAACUAUGCACGUCUUGACGGUACCUAAUCAGAAAGCCACGGCUAACUACGUG
rnacentral:rRNA from 1 species